rnacentral:rRNA from 1 species
AUUGAACGCUAGCGGGAUGCUUUACACAUGCAAGUCGAACGAGUGGCGGACGGGUGAGUAAUAUAUCGGAACGUGCCCAGUAGCGGGGGAUAACUACUCAAAAGCGCGGCUAAUACCGCAUAAUCUUGGAGCGGCCGAUAUCGGACUAGCUAGUUGGGGGGGUAAAGGCUCACAAAGGCAACGAUCCGUAGCUGGUUUGAGAGGACGACCAGCCACACUAGUGCUGUGACACGGCCCAGCCGCCUACGGUAGGCAGCAGUGGGGAAUUUUGGACAAUGGGGGAAACCCUGAUCCAGCCAUCCCGCGUGUAUGAGAAGGCCUUCGGGUUGUAAAGUACUUUCAGUCGGGAGGCGUUACCGACAGAAGAAGCACCGGCUAACUCCGUGCCAGCCGCCGCGGUAAUUC